rnacentral:rRNA from 1 species
GACGAACGCUGGCGGCGUGCUUAACACAUGCAAGUCGAACGGCAAGGCACUGCUUUCGUGGGGUGCCCGAGUGGCGAACGGGUGAGUAACACGUGAGUAACCUGCCCUUGACUUUGGGAUAAGUUCAGGAAACUGGGGCUAAUAUCGGAUCGCAGCCCCCGUUGCAUGGAGGGGGGGGGAUAGUCUAGGCGGGCGGGGAUGGAUUCGCGGCUUACCGGCUAGUUGGUGGGGUAGUCGCUUACCAAGGCAUGGACGGAUCGCCGGCCUGAGAGGGGGGCCGGCCUCCAGAGUACUGAGGGACGCACCAGACUCCAACGGUAGGCAGCAGUGGGAAAUAUUGCACAGUGAGCGGGAGCCGGAUGCAGCGACGCCGCGUGCGGGAUGACGGCCUUCGGGUUAUGAACCGCUUCAGCCUGUGACGAAGCGUGAGUGACGGUAAUGAAUAAAGAAGCACCGGCUAACUACGUG